rnacentral:rRNA from 1 species
ACGUAUGGGGCAAGCGUUGUUCGGAAUUACUGGGCGUAAAGGGCGUCUAGGCGGGGGUUUAAGUUAGAUGUGAAAGCUACGGGCUCAACCUAUAAACUGCAUUUAAAACUGGUUAUCUUGAGUCCCGGAGAGGAGAGCGGAAUUCCAGGUGUAGCGGUGGAAUGCGUAGAUAUCAGGAGGAACACCAGUGGCGAAGGCGACUUUCUGGACUGGACCUGACGCUGAGGCGCGAAAGCGUGGGGAGCGAACAG